AGCGAACGCUGGCGGCAGGCCUAACACAUGCAAGUCGAACGAACCUUUCGGGGUUAGUGGCGGACGGGUGAGUAACACGUGGGAACGUGCCUUUAGGUUCGGAAUAACUCAGGGAAACUUGUGCUAAUACCGAAUGUGCCCUUCGGGGGAAAGAUUUAUCGCCUUUAGAGCGGCCCGCGUCUGAUUAGCUAGUUGGUUGAGGUAAUGGCUCACCAAGGCGACGAUCAGUAGCUGGUCUGAGAGGAUGAUCAGCCACAUUGGGACUGAGACACGGCCCAAACUCCUACGGGAGGCAGCAGUGGGGAAUCUUGCGCAAUGGGCGAAAGCCUGACGCAGCCGUGCCGCGUGAAUGAUGAAGGUCUUCGGAUCGUAAAACUCUGUUAUCAGUGAAGAACAAACGUGUAAGUAACUGUGCACGUCUUGACGGUACCUGAUCAGAAAGCCACGGCUAACUACGUG
rnacentral:rRNA from 1 species